UCCGUUGUCGUCCAGCGGUAGGACCCCCGGUUUCCACCCAGGAGACCCGGGUUCGAGUCCCGGCAGCGGAG